GGAGGAGUAAUCAAGCCUGGCCAAAGUAAGCACAAAGUGCUUUUGUCUCUCAGGAGUUCGUGGGUUCAAAUCCCACCUCCUCCA
rnacentral:tRNA from 1 species